rnacentral:misc_RNA from 1 species
AACGCACCUUGCGCUCCCUGGUAUUCCGAGGAGCAUGCCCGUUUGAGUGUCAUGAAAACCUUCAACCCCCUCGCCGCAUCUGCCGAUGAGGGGAUUGGACUUGGGUGCUGCCGCUGCUCUCUCUGCGGCUCGCCUCAAAUGCAUUAGUCGACUCUUGCCGGCCUCACCUUUGACGUGAUAGACAUCGUCGUCGAGGUUUGGGUUGGCCCACCUGGAGCGGCUCACAACUGUCUUUGGACAUCGAAAGAUACACAUGACCCCUUUGACCUCAAAUCGGGUAGGACUACCCGCUGAACUUAA